CUGGGCUGCAGGAGUGUGCCUGAACCAGGAGGAGAUGUCAGUGUGAGGUCCUAAGGGGUGUAUGUAUGUAUGUAUGUAUGCAUGAGACAUUUUUGUGUGGUUUUGGUACGGUAGCAUUUGUUAGAGUUAUUAGUCUGGUUUUGUGUGUGCAUGACAUGACCAUUUGUAUCAGCCUAUAGGUGUUUUUGUGAUAAUGUGUUUACUGCACAUUUUUCUAUGUGCUCCCAUGUGUUGGGCUGCAUGCUGUUCAUAAGGUGUGAGAGGAGUGAGUGUUUCUGUUUCUUACAUGUUUUGUAUGUCUGUUGUUGGAUGAUUUAGUGUUAGCUGUUUUGUGUGCAUCCAUGUGCUUCUGCUGGCAUAAUACGAGUGUGUGUUUGUGCAUCCGUGUGCUUCUGCUGGCAUAUUACGAGUGUGUGUUUGUUAAUCUGUGUGUUUCUGUUGGCAUAAUACGAGUGUGUGUUUGUGCAUCCAUGUGCUUCUGCUGGCAUAAUACGAAUGUGUGUUUGUGCUGCACGUUGGGGCAGGGGAGUUAACCACAUGGGCAAGAGGGCUGUUGUUAAAGAUAUCUGUCGUUCACAGGAACACUGUGGUCUCUUUCUGUGCGUACCAAGGAAAUCGGAAAGGGUCCAUCGCGCUCUCCCAGAAGUUUGGUUGAUGCGUAAAAUCUGUGAAUUCACAAAGCAAAAGAGUGUGAUGGGUCCGCACUAAAGAAUGUCACAUAAAGCUUACUUCGUUUUUCGAGGCGCCAGACAUUAGGGAUGGACAUUUGACCUUUUUCAACUGUUUUACUCUUAAUAGUAAAUAAAUAAAAGCUGUUUUUAGAACACAUUGCCUGCACUGGAAUUUGUUUGUGGUGAAUUUGUCUACAUGCCUAGGUUUCCCAUGCUCGGUCUUGGGCACCCAAAGGGGUGCACAUUUAGUUUUUGCUCUAGUACUACACAGCUGAUUCAACUAAUCAUUAAGCUUUUAUCAUUUGAACCUUCAGCAGUGUGGUGCUUGUUUGUAGGAGCCUAUGGCUGUGGAAUGGCAUAGCCUUGUUUUGUUAAUUUAGCAGACAAUAUGCUCUUAUUUCCUGAGCCCUUAUCACAGUCAAGACACAUUUUAUAGUAAAAAAUAGAACUGUGAUGCACAUCUCCUGUCUGGAACACUUAUUCUCAAACAGUGAUCAUUUGAAACUGGGCUCAAUUUGAAAAAUAUUUUUCAGGGGUACAAACCAAAAAAAUUGGUCUUCUUUUCGAUAUACAGACAUUUUGAUUGAGAUUAUCCUGACUGUUAACAAUUCCACAUUGGACACCAGUGUUUGGUGAGUAGGUCUAUUCUUAAUGAUUCUGACAAAAAUAUGAAUUUUGUCUUUAUCAAAAUAAUGUUUUAGCAUAUUUUCAGUCUGGAACCUGUCUAUUUAGGGUGGUUAUACCCUAGUCUAACCAAUUCUAAAUGGCACUAGCAAUUUGCAAAGUAGGGGUCAUCACUAGCUACCACAGCCACAAAGUCAUAAACAAUAAAUCGUUAAUCAUAAACCCUGCCUGUUUCUAAAUCAAAUCUAAUUUAUUUGUAUAGCCCUUCGUACAUCAGCUGAUAUCUCAAAUUGCUGUACAGAAACCCAGCCUAAAACCCCAAACAGCAAGCAAUGCAGGUGUAGAAGCACCUUAACUGCAUUAGGUUAAGGUAAUUACAAUUAUACUACUUGUAGUUUCUCUGGUAUAAUGCUAAUGUAAUGUAACUGGUAAAUGUUUUUUAUAAAUGGGUCUAUAUGGUUCCUUUUGGGAUAUCGGGCAGUGAUAUUUGAUUGUAGAUGACGGUUAUUGGUAAUAAAAAUUAAGAUGCCAAUUUUUUUUUCUCCUCUCUGCUCCUGACUGCAUAUGCUCCCAUAGAAACAGAAUGAAUUAGACGGGCAUCCCCAUUCAAGUCAAUAGUGGCAUAAUGGGUUGACUGGCUAGCAUUGCAAGUGUACCCAUAGGAGCAAAGUAGGAAGUGUACCCAUCAAAUUGUGGUGUGAUUUGUUUUGAUUCAACUCAACCGACUACAAAGAAAUACAUUCCAUUAGCCACAUCAGUUAACAUAAAUUCGAUGAAUGUUCUACAUCAGCAUUGAAAUGAUUGAAUACAGUACCAGUCAAAUUGCCAGGGUUAGAGGUUCCCAAACUCUGCUCUGCCCCCCCCAAACUCCCGGGUGCCCAUUUAGGUUUUGCCCAUUUAGGUUUUGCCCUAGCACUACACAGCUGUUUCAAACAAACAACUCAUUAUGCUUUUUUUAUUUUAUUUUACGGUUAUGACAUUUAUUUUGUUUUGAUGGUGUUCAUCCAUAACCGGUGGUUAUAUGGUAAUUGCCGGCGUAAAGAUGGUAUUCCUGAGGGAAGUGGGAAUAAUUCAGGAAAUGAAUCUUGAAAUAAAAUCAUUGUAUGUAUGGUAUUGAAGUAGAAUGUUCAACCCUGAACAAUCCAGAAUAGUGUUUAUUUUAUUAAAAAGGCAGUGCAGUUAACUUGAUUUCCUGUUUUUUGUUUUAUGACAUUGAAUUAACACUUGGAAAUUGUGAAAAUGAUCAUAUUGCCCUUUUUGUGUAAGAGCUGUUUGAAAAAUAAUUCCAGGAAUUUCAGCCUGUUCAAGUGGUGUGGAGUUAUUUGGACAAGAUCAUGACAUUACAAUCUGAUCUGAUUAUACUGACCAAUGACCAGUCAUCUUUUAUUUGCGUGCCUAUCCUACUUUGAAGGGAUUAGCGGGGUAGGCUCUGGCCAAGACGAUCCUAUCCGCCAAUCAGGGCUGUUGGGCGAUCAGACUGAGCAUUUCAAUGGCAAAAGGAGGCAUACUUAUUUUGCAUUAAAUAAAUACACAGUGUUUUAUUAGACAUACAGUAAUCAUUUAAACGUAACAUUAAAAAGACUGCAUGGGGGGCUUUAAAAAGAAGCCAAACAAAAUUCUGUUUCCCAAUCAUGCUGUACUUGCUAUGUAUGUGUAGCAACCAUCUCAUGUCAAUGUCUCUACAAUAACAAUUCCCAGAGUGUACAGUAGACCGUAACAUGUUUUAUAAAGUGAAAAAAUGAUAUUGGUUACACUUUACAGUCUUCUAUUUACCUGGUAAAUAACAACUGAAAUAGGUUUGUUAAAAAAAAGUGUUACCAUUGCCAAUGUAAUGUUCAUUAAACUUGAGGGCCUGAGUGAAACAAU